rnacentral:rRNA from 6 species
AAAUUGAAGAGUUUGAUCAUGGCUCAGAUUGAACGCUGGCGGCAGGCCUAACACAUGCAAGUCGAACGGUAACAGAAAGAAGCUUGCUUCUUUGCUGACGAGUGGCGGACGGGUGAGUAAUGUCUGGGAAACUGCCCGAUGGAGGGGGAUAACUACUGGAA